rnacentral:rRNA from 1 species
GACGGGGGCCCGCACAAGCGGUGGAGCAUGUGGUUUAAUUCGAUGAUACGCGAGGAACCUUACCUGGGCUCAAAUGUAUGUUGACGUAUUCUGAAAGGGAUACUUCUUCGGACAAUAUACAAGGUGCUGCAUGGUUGUCGUCAGCUCGUGCCGUGAGGUGUCGGGUUAAGUCCCAUAACGAGCGCAACCCCUAUCAUUAGUUGCCAUCAGGUCAAGCUGGGGACUCUAAUGAAACUGCCUACGCAAGUAGUGAGGAAGGUGGGGAUGACGUCAAGUCCUCAUGGCCUUUAUGACCAGGGCUACACACGUACUACAAUGGCCGAUACAAAGGGCAGCGACACUGCGAGGUGAAGCCAAUCCCGUAAAAUCGGUCUCAGUCCGGAUUGGAGUCUGCAACUCGACUCCAUGAAGUUGGAAUCGCUAGUAAUCGUGGAUCAGCAUGCCACGGUGAAUACGUUCCCGGGCCUU